rnacentral:rRNA from 1 species
CCUACGGGAGGCAGCAGUGGGGAAUAUUGCACAAUGGGGGAAACCCUGAUGCAGCGACGCCGCGUGAGUGAAGAAGUAAUUCGUUAUGUAAAGCUCUAUUAGCAGGGAAGAAAAUGACGGUACCUGUGUAAGAAGCCCCGGCUAACUACGUGCCAGCAGCCGCGGUAAUACGUAGGGGGCAAGCGUUAUCCGGAUUUACUGGGUGUAAAGGGAGCGUAGACGGGAGGGCAAGUCUGGAGUUAAAGGCGGGGGCUCAAACCCCGGACUGCUCUGGAAACUGGACGGCUGGAGUGCAGGAGAGGUAAGUGGAAUUCCUGGUGUAGCGGUGAAAUGCGUAGAUAUUAGGAGGAACACCAGUGGCGAAGGCGGCUUACUGGACUGUAACUGACGUUGAGGCUCGAAAGCGUGGGGAGCAAACAGGAUUAGAUACCCGAGUAGUC